rnacentral:lncRNA from 1 species
UCUCAUUCACAAGGGCAAGCCCAUUUCUGAAUCUCUCAUUGUUGUUCAGUACAUUGACGAGGUUUGGCAUGACAGAACUCCCUUGUUACCUUCUGACCCUUACCAGAGAGCUCAGGCUAGAUUCUGGGCUGACUUUGUUGACAAGAAGGUAUCCUUUUUGUGCUUCAAUGCUUUGAUUCUUACUUGCAACCAUGAAGCUUUUGUUAUGAUUAUGGUAUAUAAUGAUGUAUAGUUUGGUUGUAUUGGAAAAUGGGAGAUGCAUAAUGUAAGGAAGAUGAUCCCCACUAGGAUAGACAUAGCUACUUUCUUCAUAUCUUUUUAUCCUGUGAUUUCCAUAAUUUAUAUUAAGUGGUUAUGAAAGUUUUGUUCUUCUUUAGCAAGAUGUAGGAAAAAGUAUUAGAUUAAUAGUUGUGUAAGUUGAUCCUUUUCUCAUUAUUACACUUUUAUGAUCUGAUUGAUUGUUAAUUCUGAAAUGUCAAAUAGAUGUAUGAUCUUGGAAGGAAGAUUCUUUGGACAUCAAAAGGAGAAGAAAACGAAGUUGCUAAGAAGGAGUUCAUUGAAACCCUUAAAGUGUUGGAGGAACAACUGGGAGACAGGACUUAUUUUGGAGGAGACAAUCUUGGUUUCAUGGAUGUAGCACUUGUACCAUUUUACACUUGGUUUGAAGCCUAUGAGACUUUUGGCGGCCUCAACUUAGAGAGUGAGUGCCCUAAGUUUAUUGCUUGGGCCAAGAGGUGCCUCCAGAAAGAGAGUGUUGCUAAGUCUCUUCCUGAUCAACAUAAGAUCCAUGAGAUCGUUGUGGAGAUGAGAAAGAAAUCAGGCAUUGAGUAGGUUCAUUGAGUAGGUUUAGGUUUCAGCUUAAUGAUCAUAGUAAAGUAUUGACUUCCAUUCCUCAUUCUUAACCUUUCCAUUGAAUAAAAUUUAUGUAAUAAAAGGCACUACUUGAAUGUGCCAAAGUUCAUGUCUUCUAUAGUAGCUAUUGGGAAACCUCGGAUGUACCUUUCAUGUGGUUGUUGUAAUUUAGUAUUUUAUGUAUUAUCAUAUACUUGAGUCGGUGGAUGACAGUGUUUGUUACAUGAAGUGAAACAAAUUUUUAACACGAUUGUUAUUGCUUUCUUUGUACAAUAGGAACAUGAUUAAAAACAAGCUUGCGAGUUCACAACUUCAUUAAGACUUUUGUAACAUCAUGUUUAGUCAACAUUUUGGAUAUGGAGAAAUGAUAUUUUAAAUGUAAAUUAAACUUCAUGUAAUAAGUUACAAGUACAUUUUUUUCUAUUUUUUUACCACAUAUGGAUUCAUCAGGACCAUCAGAAUUAUGUAAUAAUGUCCCUAGCUUGUUGCUGGCAUUUCAUAUUUCCAUCUACCUAUGAUGUGUGUUUAUAUAAUCACUAUAGGAUGGUAAUAAUUAAAAAAGACUUGUCUUUUUACCAUAUAUUAUAUAUUAUAUAGCUUGAACUCUGCAAAAGAAUUAGCUUCCUUUUAAUAAGUUAUUCAAAGAUAAUUAUAUUAAUUUAUAUAUAAUCAUGUUAUAUAUAUAAAAAACAGGUAUAAAAAGUAUGGGACCAAACCAAAUCUUUCAAACAAAAGCAAAACUCCUUAAGGAUACAACCUAUAUAAACUUAAAGUCAAAGAGGGACAUCUAUUUUCUUCCAAAAAAAAUGAGAGAAACUUAAAUGUCAGGGUCUUAUAGUAAACAAGACAUUCAAUCCACCUUCCUCUAAGAGACCAAGGAUCUAUUUGAAUGUUAGAAAAAACUUAGCAAACUAAUGAAGAGUCACACAUCACCCAAAUACAUAUGAAGUUGCGUUCAAUUGAGAUUUCAACCACAAGAAUAACACCAACCAAUUCAUAAAAGAGAUUUUUUAACAUCGAGGCAAAUUCACCUAUGUGAUCACCACGAAUUCACCUAUAAAUUCCUCCACUAACAACAUGACUUAAGCCUCUCUAAUUUGAUCUUUGUUUCUUGGUCUAGUUUGAAUAUCAAAAGUCUUCAAAAUGGAAAAGUUAAUAAUAUCAUUUUUCAUAUUUUUUUAUAGUAUUACCUGUCAUACAAAUAUAGCAAUGCAUUGUAUGAAAAGCAGUGUGAAAAGUUACCCAAUGUUGGAAGCAAGCAAAAUUCCUCAUCUUUAAGAUCAUCUGAACAAUGUAGGAAACUAAAACUAACCAAGUCUCCUUGAUAAGAGGAUUUCCUGCCCUACAGAAGAAUAUUAAAAUAUUUCGACCAAACGAGAAAUCAAACCUAGAAAGAUAUCUUGAAUCCAAGAUUGAAAGUUUACAAAUUGGGCAUUCAAAGCAUCGUAGUUUCCUCUUGCUUGUUAUAUGAGCUGCAUAUAGAACAAAGAAAAAUGCCUUUCAAUUGCACUUAUUUAUCAGUUGGAAUCUUAUUAUGAAGAAUUUUCCAUAAAAGUAGUUUUUUUUUUUAAGUUCUCAUGUUAGACAUUAUUAUGAAAUUUGACAUAUCUUAGUUAGGUUGACACCUCAAGUAACAACAAUUAUCUGUCACCAUAUGGAAAAAAAUAUUAUUAAAAGAAAAAGAGAGGAAAUACAAGAAAAUAUGGGGGACUAGAUCAAAACUCAUAUUAACAAAAACGGUAUAUAUGUAAUCUAUACCUAUUAAUAAAGAACUCUAAGACAAGACUAAUGGAAGCCUAUUAUACCGAUGAAAAUACUCUCUAUGAAUAAAACCUAAGUUACAAAGCUUACCAACACAUGCAUUCCCUUAACGAAAAAUAUGAAAAACCAUAAACCUGAUUUCCCCAUAGUAGUUAAGACAAGUGUUCCACUUAUUACAAAGCAUUCAAGGAACAUUAGUUCGAGUAGUAAAUGCAUCACAGAUCAAGGCAGAAUCACAUCAUAAACUAGUAAGAUCCAUCUUUUGAGCUUGUUCAAUAUCAUGUGUGCAGAAUAACUAUGGUGAAUUAGAGCAUCGCAACAGCAGAAUUUAAACCAUGAGAAAACCAGAUAACACCAAAGUGUAGCAGCAGCAAUACAACAUAUAAAACCACACCAUUCUCCCCCUAUUUGUUUUCACAAAUAGAAUGAAAGAAGGGAUAAAAACAGGAUUAAGAAAAACCAGAAUACCAGUAUGUGUAGCAACACCAUUGCAGCAACAAACCUGUGAUACCAUAUCAAAAUUGCAGCAAAAUCUAUGGUGUAUCAGAGCUAUGACAACAGCAGAAUCAAAGUACCAUAGACCCCAGAAAUUUCAGCAAGGAGACCAAAGUUUCUCCCCCUAUCUUUUCUUCAUUCAAGUUGGUCAAAUGAUUGCUCAAGAGGUGGAUUUGGUUGAAAUAUUCUUUCUUCUGUUAAGAGCAAACCUUCCAGACGUUCCAAAGAUACAUUCACAAAUAUUCAUCAAUCCCAUGACCACCAAUGUGGUUGCCAUUCAUAAAAAGCUUUGAAUUUCAAGGAAAACAAAGAGUAUAUCUCUUUAUGAUCUAAUUCAUAGGCACAAAGAAUGCAUAUUUGACUCAUAAUGGGUUAUGAAAGAAAAGGAACAACUGUAAUCAUGCAUAAGAAAUCAUAACAUCUUUAUUCAAAUGUGCCAGAGGUAUAACAAUCGGUUGUUUCGUGCAAACAAUCAAUUGUUUUUCUGAGACAACAAAAAAAUGUUAUUUUUCAAAGCAAAUCAUCUUUCAAAGUGAUGAGAAAUGCAUAAUGAAAUACAUUCAUAUCUUUGCAUUACCUCAACAUAUUUAGAAGUUCAUUUGGUCUUAUGAAGCCAAAAGCAUAGGAUGAACAUAUACAACUUACUUUACAUAGGUCAUGAAUUUUGACUUGUCAAGAAUUUGAGUAAGGUGUAUGCUCUUGAACCAUAAGCAUCACUUUGAUUAUUCUUCAUCAUAGCACCCAUACUUGAAAGGUCCUGCAACACAUAAUUGAUGCAUAUACAAAGCAAGUAUAGCAGCAAGAUAACAAAACACACACAAACUGGUUUUCUGCAUAUACAACAUUAGUAGAAAAACCAGAAAAAUGAAGUGUUCAAGAGCUUUCAAGUGCAGAAUAGCAAAAACAUAAUGCACAUAUUUAAAGCUAACUAUACAACCAAAUCAAGCAUAAAAUUCUCCCCCUAUUUGAUCUACAAAUAGAAAAUGAGAAGGGUUGUACAAAGCAGAAAUCAGAAUAAUAACACAGUAGUUUAGCAGUACAAACAAUUUUGACAUUUCAAGAAUAAAGCAUGUCAUAGAGCUUUCAAGAAAACAAGUGGAUAUAAUCUUUUAUUAUCAUACUCUGAGGCACACUCAAUGUAUAUUUGUCUAAAAGCAAGAUUUGAAAAAGAGGAAUGGUUUAAUCAUGCAUAAGCAAAAUUGGCAGCAUAAUAUAAAGGUGUUAGAGGAAAAACAAUCGGUUGUUUUGAAAAAACAAUUGGUUGUUUUGAAAAAACAAUUGGUUGUUUUGAAAAAACAAUUGGUUGUUUUACUGUGACAGCAAAAAGAACAUUUUUCAUAACCAAAAAUUACCUUUUAAAUUAAUGAAAUGCAGUAUGCAAUUUGUUCAUACCUUUGCACAGAGAACCCCAAUAGAUUCACCCAAAAAGAAGACUUUGAGAUGUUCAUAUGGUCAAAAGGCACACUUACAUAAAUUGAGAAAAUAAAAAAACACAUACCCUCUUUGAAGUUUUUUUUUUAUCAACAUUAUGCGUGUGCCAAAGAUGUCUCUUGACAUUCAAAGAACCUUGCAAGACAUAUACAAUUGAAAAGUGUAGGUACAAAGAUUGUCUUUGCUCUUGAUAUUCUUCCCUUUAGCAGUCAUUCUUCAAGCCCAAAAGUGAUUCUUGGCUGCCAAGGAUACCUACAAGAAAACAUUAAGAAGCAAGAUUUGGUCCCCUUAUGAAUUUGGGUCCAAUGAUGUUAGUAGAAGUCUUAGGAACCUCGGAAACCUUAGGAACCCAUUUCAAAAUACCUUUAGAAACAAAAAACAUCUUAAUAUUGCAGAAUCUAAUUGAGUGGCCUCUCUUCAUGCAAUAAAAGCAUGUAACAACUGGUUGUUUCGAUUUUUCAAUCAGUUGUUUUUCUGGCAGUUUUGAAAAAGACUUUGAAAACUCGGUUUUCUUGAUCUGUGGAUUAAAACCUAAACCUGCUUUUCCAAAAACACAAUUUUGAGAUCCCAAGACAGUCUCAAAGUUGGAUUUACCCUUUGAAAGUCUAUCCACAGUUUUCACAAGGUAGUGAACCUUCUUUUCAAGAGAAUCACAAUUUUCACAAACAAGAGAGUCACACUUGCAAGAAGAGUUCUUGUAAAGCAUUUAUAGAUUUUCAAAAUCAGUUUUUGAAUUCUCCAACUCUUCUUCUAGAGCCUUGGCUCUGUUUUCAAGCCAGUUAUUCAACCCUUUUAACUGGUUGUUAAAGAUUACCAAUCGGUUAGCUUCCUCAUGUGUUUCUUUAAAAGCUUGAAGAAGUUGACUAUAAUUUUCAGCAUUUAAAUAAUUACAAGAACUUACACUACUUGCAUCAUCUUCUUCCUUGGUCAUCAAACACAUAUUGACUUCUUUUUUAUUUUGCUUUAUUUUCCUUCUUGCUUGACUUCUUCUCCUUGCUCUCUUUAUUUCAUUGGUUCCCUCAUGAGUUACUUCAAGUGUAUCCCGCAUCUCCCUAACAAAUCCACAUUUUGAGACCCUGAAAAACUCAUUAGAAUUUAAGGCAGAGGUGAUAAUAUUUUUUGCAAUACAAUCAUAUUGUGCUCUUUCACUUUCACUCUUAGUCCAUUGGGACCAAGGUUUUUCAAACAAAACAUCAUCUUUUUCAAACAUAGGAAUAAAAGGACCAUUUUCUAUUGCAUCCCAAACUCCUCUAUCAAGUGAUUCAACAAAGAUUUUCAUUCUAACCUUCCAAAACUAAUAGUUCAAACCACAAAAUAAAGGUGGCCUGUUUAUUGAGGCACCCUCCCCAAAAGGUAAUUUUUUAGCCAUAAGAAAAAUGUUUUUAUGAUCAAACUUGAAUAUCUUUCAAGAACCAAGCUCUUGAUGCCAAUUGUUAGAAUAUAUGGCCUUAAACAAGAGGGGGGUGAAUUGUUUAUAAGAGAUUUUCUCAAACUUUGAAGGUAUAAUGAAAUUCAAUGCUGAAUUACAGAGAAAAGAAUCAAGGAAACAAAGACCCAAAACUGUUUUAAGAUGAUAUCAGAAAAACAAUCGGUUGUUUAUACUAGUUAGAACUCAAACAACUUAAAAACAGAAUUUAAAGAGUUAAGGGUAAGAGAUAAGAACACAAGCAAUUUAUACUGGUUCACUCUUACACCAAGAGCUACAUCCAGUUCCCAGAAACCACUGGGUAAACCACUAUGCAAUCAAAACCAGAUUACAAACACCACACACCAAAGUAGUGACCUGGAACCCCUCAAGAAACACACUACCUUUGACAUACCACACCAAGAAUGUUGAUCUUGAACACCUCAAGAACACACAACACUCCUUGGCAACACAAAUACAGAAAUACAGUAAUCAAGGAAGAAGGGAAUAGAAUACACCUGGGUAUUACAAAGCUUAAAGUUCAGAAUUACAACCCAAUCCUAUUCCACACACUUAAGAAUGAUCCAAAGCUCUUUCAAAUCUUGGAAAAAUUGUUUUGAUAAACUCUUUCUCUUACACCAAGAUUAGGAGCGUAAAACCACCUUUAUAUAGACCAACCAAGUGGUCAAAAAUAUUUAAUAAAGGAGCCAAGGUAGUUAGAGUCAUUUAAAGCAUAUUAAAACCACUUAACAGAAUUCUGUUAAGGUUUUCAGAAAAACAAUCGAUUGUUUUGUCGAAACAAUCGGUUGAAUUGACUUGACAGCAAAGUCAUCCUUUUCAAAAACUGCUAAGGUAAAACAACUUGUUGUUUCGAAAUUUCAACCUGUUAACAUGUUGUUUCGAAAAACAACCUGUUGAAAUUUCAACAACAUUUUAGAAAACUCAUCUUUUCAAAAGGUUAAAGAUUCAAAUGAACUUGGAUCAUCUUAAGGAGUGAAUUAACAAGUUUCAAACAACUAGACAACACACACACACACCCAGCAGCAAGGUCUUCAAGCUUUUCUCUUGGAUUUGGAGACAUCAAAGCAUCUUGUUCAACAGUCUCCCCCUAUUUAAUGAAGACAAAUCCCUGGUUUGUUUGUGUUGUUUUUUUUUUAACUUGAUAGAUCCUGCAAAACAGAAUUUGUGCAUAUACAAAGCAAGUAUACCAGUAGGAUACCAAGGCACACAAAACCAGUUUUCUGCAUAAGCCUUUAAGCAGAAAAACCAGUCAAAUAACCAUAAAAAUUAGUGCCAAAAUUAGACUUGUGUGCAGCAAAACUAUGAUGAAUAAGAGCAUCGUAGCAACAGAAUUUAAACCAUGAUAAAACCAGAUAACACCAGAGUGUAGCAGCAGCAAUACAACACAUAAAACCACACCAGUUCUGAAAUAUGUGGUGUAUUUGCCAAAGGUAGUGUAUGUUCUUGAUGGGUUCAAGAUCACCAUUUUGGUGUGUUGUGUGUGUAAUCAAGGUUUUUAAUUGUUUAGUGAAUUCUCAGUGGUUGUUGAGGAUUGAAUGUAGCUCUUGGUAAAGAGUGAACCUGUAUAAAACUCUUUGUGUUAAUUUCUCUAUCCUUUCUCUCUUUUAAUUUUUUUUUUUGCUUUGUUUUUAACACUGAUGGUAUAAACAACUGAUUAUUUCGCAAAAACAACCGGUUGAUUUUCUACAAUCACAUUAAAAACAUUUUUGAACUUGGCUAAACUGAUUUCUAAUUGAUUGAUUCCUCAUUGUCUUUCAAUCAACCUUUAACAUUUGCGAAAAUAUUUUAUAAACAAUUCACUCCCACUCUUGUUUAAGGCCUACAUUUCUAACCAAAUAAUCAUUGUUGUCUUUGUGGAGCGUUUGAGGAGACGACAAGUCAUCUUUUUGUUGGCCGCAGAGUGUCCCGACUUAUUUGGAAUCUUUGCUACGCUUGGUUAGGAGUGAGUUUGGUAGACCAUCUUGAUCCUACUUCGCAUUUUACCCAGUUUAAGUUACUCGAUGCGCCUACGUCGGUUAAUCUAAUCUUGGGAAGUAUUUGGGUUGCACUAGUCAGUGUCAUUUGGAGGCAUAGAAACAAUUGCAUCUAUAAAGGUGGAGUGCUCGACCAUUCUGAAAUUUUCUCCUCGGCUCAAUUAAAGGUUUGGUCUUGGGUUUCCUCUAAAGUUCCUUCGGUAUGUUUUUCCUUCUCUGAUUGGUGCCUAGAACCCCUGGUAUGUAUUAUUUGAUUAAAAGCUUGUGGUUGUUUUAGGUUGGUUGGGUUGCUUUCUUUGUGUUGUUGAGGGGUGCUUGAUAUUGAGAGGGCUUUAAGAGGUAGGCGUUCAAGUUAUUCUUAGUUUGAAGGCUUGGUUGGGGUUGUUUGUUUGGUAGGUAGUUGUAGGCAUUUUGUUGGGUUGUGCUUUGGUAGGGAGAGAGGUUUGCCCUUCACUAUGCUAUGUUUUAGGGUUGGUCCACCCCUGAAGUGGAUCAUAUUUAUUUAUUUUUUCUUGCUGAUAAAAAAACUAAUCCUAAUUAAUAAUCGAGUAUUCUUUACGAAAUAGCCAUUUCUGGCUAAGAUACAAAAAAUUUCUGAGUGGAGAUCAACAGAUAACACAGUUGCUCACUAGAGAGGAUUAUCGCUAUAGACGUAUACAAGCUUUGUGCACUUUCCUCUAGCUUUCUAAUUAAACACGGAUAAUUUUCUUUAUGAAAAUUUUGAUGGGCGUAUAAAUUUUAGCAAUAUUUCAGUACAAUGCAACAUGGUCCUUUUUUUUUCUUCUUAAAUUGCUUUAUAUAAGCUUUAAAAAAGCAUUCGUUGUAAAUCCAUUUUUGGCCAUUGAACAACUUCAACUCUUUUGAAUGUUCUUUCUGCAAUUUGACGAGUUCGAAAGUGGAUUGUGCAUUAAAUGCACUCCAUGCAACAUUAAAUGUCAUGUUACUCUUUAACAUAACCACCUAAUAGAUGGGAUGUGUUUAUCCCUUCUUUGACAUUGUGCCUUUGGUUGACUUUGUUUAAAGCAUAAAGUUAUAUGAAGUAAAUAGUCUUUCCAUAAUUUUCAAUGCUAGCAUCGCGACAUAUUUGAAGAAAAACAAAUUUAAGUAUUUAUCCAAGAGAUCCUUUGAUAUAACUUGUGUUUGCAAAAUCUUCUUUAACAUACGAAAGCAACCGUCAUUCCCUAUAACAUAAAAUAAACAUAUAUGUUUUUGUCUAGUGCGAGCUUAGAAUAAACAUGUAUGUUUUGUGUAGAAUAAAAUCUUUAUCAGAUAUAAUGAUAAGACUCCACAAUGUUGUAUCGUUUGUCAGACGAAACAAUUACAUCUUAUCUGAUCAGUUGUUAAAAUAAGGUUUCAUCUUAAAAAUAAAGCAUAACAAUGUCUACAAUUAUUUUCAACACUUAAUCAAAAUCAUAAAUGUUUAUAAAUUUUGUACAAUAAGUAUUUAUAAAUUUUAUUUUUAGUACAAUAAAAAAAUAGUCUUAAUAUAAUUUUUUUAAUUUUGUUAGUUUAAAAUUAACGUUAUUAAUGUUAAUUUUAUCUUUAAUAACACAUGAAAAUUACUAAAGAUCAAACACUUUGUCAUUUACCUCAAUCAUUAACAGAGUAUAAACAAAAAUAUAUAAUUAAUUUUUUAUAAUAAAAUUGUUUUUCUUUUUUUUCUUAUUAUAUAAAAACUAAAUAUAUAAAUACUUAUUCUAAACAAAUAAAUAUAAUUCAAGUUUAACUAUUUAUCCAAAAAAAAUGUAAUUCAAGUUUAGUUUGUUACGAGUUAGAUACUCGCUUAAAAAAUUAGACCUUAAGAAACAAUUUUUCAUAAUUAUAAAAAUAUACUCAUAAUAAACCUUUAUUAUUAGUAAAAUAUUUACUAAUAAUAAAAAAAUAUACAUCAAAGUCUUAAAGUUGUACCUUAUUAAAACUAUUAUUUACAUAAUUAUAAAAGAAAUACUAUUUUUGUAAAUAUAUAUAUAUAUAUAUAUAUAUAUAUAUAUAUAUAUAUAUAUAUAUUAUGAUAUAGUUCUCCAGUGAAUCAGAAUGUCAGAUGAAGAAAAUUUAAUAUGUAUUGUUUCAAUUUAUUUUAAAAUAUACCCUGCUUGAUUAAUUCUCCAUCAUAAAAGUCAUUUUUGCAUCAAUUCUAAAGNNNNNNNNNNNNNNNNNNNNNNNNNNNNNNNNNNNNNNNNNNNNNNNNNNNNNNNNNNNNNNNNNNNNNNNNNNNNNNNNNNNNNNNNNNNNNNNNNNNNNNNNNNNNNNNNNNNNNNNNNNNNNNNNNNNNNNNNNNNNNNNNNNNNNNNNNNNNNNNNNNNNNNNNNNNNNNNNNNNNNNNNNNNNNNNNNNNNNNNNNNNNNNNNNNNNNNNNNNNNNNNNNNNNNNNNNNNNNNNNNNNNNNNNNNNNNNNNNNNNNNNNNNNNNNNNNNNNNNNNNNNNNNNNNNNNNNNNNNNNNNNNNNNNNNNNNNNNNNNNNNNNNNNNNNNNNNNNNNNNNNNNNNNNNNNNNNNNNNNNNNNNNNNNNNNNNNNNNNNNNNNNNNNNNNNNNNNNNNNNNNNNNNNNNNNNNNNNNNNNNNNNNNNUAUAUAUAUAUAUAUAUAUAUAUAUAUAUAUAUAUAUUAUGCCACACUACCAAGAUAUUUAUUUAAGUAGAUUGUCUUUUUUAAUCAAAGAUUUAUUUAAGCAUUUGAAAAUUAAAAAUGUCGCUUAAAACACAAGACACCAAAAACAUAAUUUACGAAAUCUAAAAUAUUAUUAUACAUAUUUUAUAUUUCAGAUAUGACAAAUAAAAACAAAAAUAAUGUUGGGUUUUCAUUUUAUUUGUAUUUGAUGUAUUAUAAAACUAUGAUCUAAGCCAUUACAACAUCAUCGGAUGCAACUCAAGUUGCUUUUGGUUACAGUUUAAAAAUCAAUGCUUUUCUUUUCUUUCUAUUUCUACUUAAAGUUUUCAAAAGACUAUGAUCUAAGCGAUUACAUCAUCGGGUCAACCUCAAGUUCCUUUCUUUUUCUUUUUAAAUUAUUCAUAUAACUUUGACUGUUUAUUAAUUGGGUUGUUUCUAACUCCACGAAUUAUUUUACAAAACGAAGAAAAAUAUAUUUAUUCUACUUAGCACUUUUACUUUUAAUACUAAACUAACUAUAAUUAACUGUAAAGAAUUAAAUAUAAUAUUAAAAACAUCAAGAUUAGAACUUAAAAAUCAUUUUAAAAUUAAUAAUUACUUAAAAAUAGAUAAAAACAAGACAACUUAAUAAUACCAAAUAUAUGAAAACUAUUACUUAAAAACUAAUUUUAGAUAACAAAAUAAUUAGUUAUUAUUCAACUAAAAUAAGAAGUAUUUUAUAAACUAAAUUUUUUAUUGAUAUUUAAAAUAAUUUUUAUUAUUGAUAAAAAAAAUUAUAAAAUAGUUUCUAAAUCAGUAUUAACUAUUAGCUACUUACUACUUUAUAUUCCCAAUUAGUCUCUAUAAAUAUUUUAUAUAUUACUUUAGAAACUAAAAUAGUAAGUAGUUAAAAAAAAUUUAGUAACUAAUUUAGAUACCAAUUUAAAAACUAUUUUAUAGAUUUUUAUUAAUAAUAAAAAUCAUUUUUAAAAAAAAAUUAGUCUUUAAAAUAAUAUCUAAUUUAAUUGGUAUAAUAAAUAAAUAUCUUUUAUCUUUAAAUUUAUUGUUAGGAGAACACGUGGUAGAAAAUAGAAUGUGAUGUGAAAAAUUAUAGCACCGUGGAAGAGGACUUGUUCUCGAUCUUGUUUAGUGCAGUUUGGCAGGGACUCUGGCCCUCGUCACAUUUAGAUAUGGAAUGUCCUUUCAAAUUAACAUGCUUGUGCUGUGUAGAAGCUAAGAUAAAAAAAUAACACUUUAGAAUAUUCCAGAAUACACAUUAACAAUGGUAGCAUCUCAAUACUCCAGAACCUGCGAACCAAAAACAACAUGUAAUAAUCUUAUUUGCAGUUAAGCUAGAUGAUUCUUUAAUUAUGCCAAACUUACAUUGACUAUAAUAGUUAUAUUUGAAUAAUUCAAAGUUCAAAACUAGCUAUAAAUAUGAAGGCCUCACUCUUCUUUUGCAAUGGAAAUCACUUUCUUAUUUGAUUCUUCUUUUAUUAUCUGUUCUUGAAGUUGAAUGAGUAUGGCAGAUGAGGUGGUUCUGCUAGAUUUCUGGCCAAGUCCGUUUGGGAUGAGGGUGAGGAUCGCACUUGCUGAAAAGGGUAUAAACUAUGAGUACAAAGAAGAGGACUUGAAGAACAAGAGUCCUCUUCUCCUCCAAAUGAACCCAGUUCACAAGAAAAUUCCUGUUCUCAUUCACAAGGGCAAGCCCAUUUCUGAAUCUCUCAUUGUUGUUCAGUACAUUGACGAGGUUUGGCAUGACAGAACUCCCUUGUUACCUUCUGACCCUUACCAGAGAGCUCAGGCUAGAUUCUGGGCUGACUAUGUUGACAAGAAGGUAACCUUUUUGUGCUUCAAUGCUUUGAUUCUUACUUGCAACCUUUUUGGGCUGACUAUGUUAUGAUUAUGGUAUAUAAUGAUGUAUAGUUUGGUUGUAUUGGAAUAUGGGAGAUGCAUAAUGUAAGGAAGAUGGUCCCCACUAGGAUAGAAAUAGCUACUUUCUUUAGAGAUUUUUAUCCUGUGAUUUCCAUAAUUUAUAUUAAGUGGUUAUGAGAGUUUUGUUCUUCUUUAGCAAGAUGUAGGAAAAAGUAUUAGAUUAAUAGGUCUGUAAGUUUAUCCUUUUCUCAUUAUUACAUUCUUAUGAUCUAAUUGAGUGUUAAUUCUGAAAUGUCAAAUAG